rnacentral:rRNA from 1 species
CUCGUAGGUGGCCAACUAAGUCAGACGUGAAAUCCCCAGGCUUAACCUGGGAACUGCGUCUGAUACUGGAUGGCUUGAAUUCGGGAGAGGGAUGCAGAAUUCCAGGUGUAGCGGUGAAAUGCGUAGAUAUCUGGAGGAAUACCGGUGGCGAAGGCGGCAUCCUGGACCGAGAUUGACACUGAGGAAGCGAAAAGCUAGGGGAAGCAAAC